UACGUAGGGUCCGAGCGUUGUCCGGAAUUACUGGGCGUAAAGAGCUCGUAGGUGGUUUGUCGCGUUGUUCGUGAAAACUCACAGCUCAACUGUGGGCGUGCGGGCGAUACGGGCAGACUUGAGUACUGCAGGGGAGACUGGAAUUCCUGGUGUAGCGGUGGAAUGCGCAGAGUAUCAGGAGGAACACCGGUGGCGAAGGCGGGUCUCUGGGCCGAUACUGACGCUGAGGAGCGAAAGCCGUGGGGAGCAAACAGG
rnacentral:rRNA from 1 species